AGUGAACGCUGGCGGCAGGCCUAACACAUGCAAGUCGAGCGGCAGCGGGUUCCCGCGAGGGGAUGCCGGCGAGCGGCGGACGGGUGAGGAACACAUCGGAAUCUGCCUGGUUGUGGGGGAUAACGUAGGGAAACUUACGCUAAUACCGCAUGCGACCCUGAGUCGACGGACUGGGGGUGAAAGUGAGGGACCUUCGGGCCUCACGCGACCAGAUGAGCCGAUGUCGGAUUAGCUAGUUGGCGGGGUAACGGCCCGCCAAGGCGACGAUCCGUAGCUGGUCUGAGAGGAUGAUCAGCCACACUGGGACUGAGACACGGCCCA
rnacentral:rRNA from 1 species